rnacentral:rRNA from 1 species
GACGUUACCUACAGAAGAAGACACCGGCUAACUCCGUGCCAGCAGCCGCGGUAAUACGGAGGGUGCGAGCGUUAAUCGGAAUUACUGGGCGUAAAGCGCAUGCAGGCGGCCUGUUAAGUCAGAUGUGAAAGCCCGGGGCGUUAACCUCGGAAUUGCAUUUGUAAACUGGCAGGCUAGAGUCUUGUAGAGGGGGGUAGGAAGUUUACUAGGUGUAGCGGUGAAAUAGCGUAGAGAUCUGAAGGAAUACCAGUGGCGAAGGCGGCCCCCUCGGACAAAGACUGACGCUCAGAUGCGAAAGCGUGGGGAGCAAACAGGAUUAGAUACCCUGGUAG